UCCGUAGGUGGAUAAUUAAGUCAGAGGUGAAAUCCUGCAGCUCAACUGUAGAAUUGCCUUUGAUACUGGUUAUCUUGAGUCAUUAUGAAGUGGUUAGAAUGUGUAGUGUAGCGGUGAAAUGCAUAGAUAUUACACAGAAUACCGAUUGCGAAGGCAGAUCACUAAUAAUGUACUGACACUGAGGGACGAAAGCAUGGGGAGCGAACAGGAUUAGAUACCCUGGUAGUCC
rnacentral:rRNA from 1 species